rnacentral:rRNA from 1 species
UUCUAAGGGCGCAUGGUGGAUGCCUUGGCAACAGGAGCCGAAGAAGGACGUGGGAAUCUGCGAUAAGCCUGGUGGAGUCGAUAACCGGACGUUGAGACCAGGAUUUCCGAAUGGGGAAACCCCGCACGACGUGUCGUGUGACCACCGGUUGAACACAUAGACCGGUUGGAGGGAACGUGGGGAAGUGAAACAUCUCAGUACCCACAGGAAGAGAAAACAAAAGUGAUUCCGUUAGUAGUGGCGAGCGAACGCGGAUGGGGCUAAACCGUAUGUGUGUGAUACCCGGCAGGGGUUGCAUGUGCGGUGUUGUGGGCCCCUCCUUGUCAUGUCUGCCGGCAUGGCGCAGUGAGGUGCGGGCAUAUAGACGAACCAGUGUGGAUGCUGGACCGUAGAGGGUGAGAGUCCCGUAGUCGAAAUGUGUUCCGCCGCUGUUGGAGGGUCGCCCGAGUAGCACGGGGCCCGAGGAAUCCCGUGUGAAUCUGCCAGGACCACCUGGUAAGCCUGAAUACUACCUGAUGACCGAUAGCGGACCAGUACCGUGAGGGAAAGGUGA